UCUAGUUUUCUUAUGUCACUUUUUUCAUGUGAUCCGUAUAAAUAAAUGCAUCUAAUUUUAUUACAUACUCAACUUAGCUCAAGUAAGCUAUAAUCCCGAACUAAUUGAGAUUGGCAAUAUGUAUAUUUUUCCUCCUUUCUUCCUAGUCAAGGCUAUAUAUAUCUUUAGAAAGAUUUACAGUCAUUAAAUCCUCUUUCGCCACUUCACCCUAUGACACCCUAGGUCUGCCCCUUGUUACCUUUUCUGAAUCUUCCUUCUCUGAAAUUUUCUUUAAUGGAUGCCGCUUCCAUUUUCUUGUGAAUGUGUGAUUACAUAAUAAAAUCUUGAUAUUUGCCUAGUUUUAAUCUGUCAUAGAUUUAUUAUAGUUGUCCUCAAAUAAUUAUGAUAUAUGUUUCUGUGGAAGUUUGCCUCUCAUUUGACGUGUCUAUUGCUAGAUCAUGGCUAUUGGAACCCUAG
rnacentral:misc_RNA from 1 species